rnacentral:rRNA from 1 species
AUUGAACGCUGGCGGCAUGCUUUACACAUGCAAGUCGAACGGUAACAGGCCGCAAGGUGCUGACGAGUGGCGAACGGGUGAGUAAUGCAUCGGAACGUGCCCAGUCGUGGGGGAUAACGCAGCGAAAGCUGUGCUAAUACCGCAUACGAUCUAUGGAUGAAAGCGGGGGACCGUAAGGCCUCGCGCGAUUGGAGCGGCCGAUGUCAGAUUAGGUAGUUGGUGGGGUAAAGGGUCACCAAGCCAACGAUCUGUAGCUGGUCUGAGAGGACGACCAGCCAAACUGGGACUGCGACGCGGCCCAGACUCCUACGGGAGGCAGCAGUGGGGAAUUUUGGACAAUGGGCGCAAGCCUGAUCCAGCAAUGCCGCGUGCAGGAAGAAGGCCUUCGGGUUGUAAACUGCUUUUGUACGGAACGAAAAGGUUUGGGUUAAUACCCUGGGCCGAUGACGGUACCGUAAGAAUAAGCACCGGCUAACUACGUGCCAGCCGCCGCUGUAA